UGUUCUUUGGCUGACCCAGCUGCUGUUUUGUUGGCUUUGUUUAGUUAUUGUGAUUUGUUAAUAGUAUUUGUUAAAUAAAUGUACCUAUUUAUUAGAUAUACACCCGUCUUGUCUCCUUCAUGUUGCAGCCUGAGAGCCGGGUUGUAACAAAUGUCAUGCUAAAAGUUUCCCCAGUUGAGGAUACUCCUCCACGGGGGACGAUCCUUGAGGCCGCGGUCGCUCUGUGAACUGAGCUUGCUCGUCACAUGUCUGCGUGGACAUAAGCCCUCUGCUUCAAACGCACACAGUGGGGAGGGGGAGACGGGAGAUGUGCAGAGCCGCCCGACAUCCUCGAUGAUGACAUCUUCAAACACACACACACUCCCCUGCGCUCUGCAGACACACCCAGCGCUCGCUGCAGCUCAUUCAGGUCCAUCAGACACGACUGGAGGCUCCCGGCUCCUCCGUGGCCGCCGGCUGAGCGCAUCUUCACGUCCUC